AUACCAGAUUGGCAGGGAGAAUACCACAAUGAAGAAGGUGGUUUCCCCAGGGUGAGGGUCUUCCAUUGCACAUUUCAGUUGAGUUGACCCCUGUGAUUUCCCCAAAUGUGGAUUCAGCUGCAUAAUUUCUGGUAGUGGUGGACUGUGUUCAUGCAGUUUGCUG